AUUGAACGCUGGCGGCAGGCCUAACACAUGCAAGUCGAACGAGUGGCGGACGGGUGAGUAAUGUCUGGGAAACUGCCCGAUGGAGGGGGGUAACUACUGGAGACGGUAGCUAAUACCGCAUACCAUCUGAUAUGCCCAGAUGGGAUUAGCUUGUAGGUGAGGUAACGGCUCACCUAGGCGACGAUCCCUAGCUGGUCUGAGAGGAUGACCAGCCACACUGGAACUGAGACACGGUCCAGACUCCUACGGGAGGCAGCAGUGGGGAAUAUUGCACAAUGGGCGCAAGCCUGAUGCAGCCAUGCCGCGUGUAUGAAGAAGGCCUUCGGGUUGUAAAGUACUUUCAGUUGGGAGGCGUUACCAGCAGAAGAAGCACCGGCUAACUCCGUGCCAGCCGCCGCGGUAAUAC
rnacentral:rRNA from 1 species